UCAAUUGUCUCAGCAUUCAGUUUGUGGCACAGCUAUGGUCUCCAUAAACUUAGUGGCCGUACUUUCAUUUAUUCAUUCAUUCAUUUAUGUACAUUUUCUUCAUAGACAUAGAGGUUGUCUGAACUUUUGGAAGAAUCUGUAAAUCAAAGAAUACACAAAAAUGGUCAGAAAUAGCCAUAUCCUUAAUGUUAAUUGAUAGAAUUUCAACAUCCUUAGAGAUGUCCAGGUCUAAGAUGUGACCUUCAGUUGAGAGAGGUCAAAUGUGUCUAGUAUAGCAGAGAGUUAUUUAGAUUUUUUUCCAUGUUAUUGUCAACAUGAAUGUUAAAGUCUCCUGUUAUGACAAAAUAGUUGUACAGAUAACUGACAGCAGUUCUGAAAAAUUCUGCAUAAAAAAGCCUAUACGGGCUCGCUGUUCAGAGCGUCCAUAGCUCAACGUGCGGGGGUGUGUCGGCAACUCUUAUUUUUAUGUGAUGGUUCGGUCCAAUCGGGUUAGACCACGUUGCACAGUGUAGUGAUGGGAUGAACAACAUUGGUGCGUCAGCACUGUGCCGAGUGCACAAGAGUGAAACCCCGUAUUGGUGCGCGUAUCGCUUUAAGAAAAAAAUCAUGUGACCAAUCCAGGACGUGUGUCAUUUGGAUGUGCCGCGCCAAAUUGUGUAUAUAAGGAAACAAACUGUGUUGACAUGUUGUGGAUUUGUUGGAUGGAGUUUUGCUUGCCCUCACAUUGUUCCACUGACUUCAUGGAUCGUUCCAAGAAGUUCUCCCCAGUCUGAAUAAUUUUGAUCUUGUGACGCCAAAUAAGGUGAAGUGUCGGCUCUGCUCCACAGCGCUAUCUUACAUCAAUAAGAGCGCUUCAUCAGUGCUGAGGCAUUAUAGAGCUCGGCAUGGCAUUGAAGAAUUGGCAGAUACUCGUGUGAGUACCCCAGUUCCUAACAAGCAAGCAGUGGCUGAGGCUGUGGUCAAUAUGAUCAUCAAAGACUGUCAGCCACUCACCAUUGUUGAAAAUGAGGGAUUCAGGGAGCUCCUGAAACUUAUCAACUCGCUCUUAAAUUUUUAUGCUCACCAUCUUCAUCUGUACCCUGUGAAUGAGUUUUUUUCUAAGGCAGGGGAACUGGUGUCUAAGAGGAGAAAUCGCCUUGAAGCAAAGACACUUCAAAAACCUUUGUUCCUCAAUAAAAAUGCAUAAAUAAAUUUUUAGUCUUUUAUUUCAUAUGACUGAACACUUAAGUUAACAAAAUUCUAUACAUAAGUUAAAAAAUUAACAGAAUUUUAUUAGACAAAUUUGCUAUAUUUUACAUACCAACUAAUUUUAGCAUUUACACAAACAAGGUUUUAAGCAAAUUUGAAACUCUUCUCAAAAAACACUCAGCAAACAAAUUGAGUAACUGAAAUUAUACAAUCACGAGAGGAUAUGUUAAG